rnacentral:rRNA from 1 species
GAUGAACGCUGGCGGCGUGCCUAAUACAUGCAAGUCGAGCGAACGGACGAGAAGCUUGCUUCUCUGAUGUUAGCGGCGGACCGGUGAGUAACACGUGGAUAACCUACCUAUAAGACUGGGAUAACUUCGGGAAACCGUAGCUAAUACCGGAUAAUAUUUUGAACCGCAUGGUUCAAAAGUGAAAGACGGUCUUGCUGUCACUUAUAGAUGGAUCCGCGCUGCAUUAGCUAGUUGGUAAGGUAACGGCUUACCAAGGCAACGAUGCAUAGCCGACCUGAGAGGGUGAUCGGCCACACUGGAACUGAGACACGGUCCAGACUCCUACGGGAGGCAGCAGUAGGGAAUCUUCCGCAAUGGGCGAAAGCCUGACGGAGCAACGCCGCGUGAGUGAUGAAGGUCUUCGGAUCGUAAAACUCUGUUAUUAGGGAAGAACAUAUGUGUAAGUAACUGUGCACAUCUUGACGGUACCUAAUCAGAAAGACACGGCUAACUACGUG